AUAGUAUUGGUUAGCACUCUGGACUUUGAAUCCAGCGAUCCGAGUUCAAGUCUCGGU
rnacentral:tRNA from 1 species